GAUGAAGAACGUAGCGAAAUGCGAUAAGUAAUGUGAAUUGCAGAAUUCAGUGAAUCAUCGAAUCUUUGAACGCACAUUGCGCCCCUUGGUAUUCCGAGGGGCAUGCCUGUUCGAGCGUCAUUAUAACCCCUCAAGCUCAGCUUGGUGUUGGGGCCUGCUGCACUGGCAGCCCUUAAAAUCAGUGGCGGCGCCAUCUGGCUCUAAGCGUAGUAAUUCUUCUCGCUAUGGAGUCCUGGUGGAUGCUUGCCAUCAACCCCCCAAUUUUUCUAUGGUUGACCUCGGAUCAGGUAGGGAUACCCGCUGAACUUAAGCAUAUCAAUAAGCGGAGGA
rnacentral:misc_RNA from 1 species